rnacentral:rRNA from 1 species
CCUACGGGAGGCAGCAGUGGGGGAUAUUACACAAUGGGGGGAACCCUGAUGCAGCGACGCCGCGUGGGUGAAGAAGCGCCUCGGCGCGUAAAGCCCUGUCAGCAGGGAAGAAAAUGACGGUACCUGAAGAAGAAGCCCCGGCUAACUACGUGCCAGCAGACGCGGGAAUACGUAGGGGGCAAGCGUUAUCCGGAUUUACUGGGUGUAAAGGGGGCGCAGAUGGCGAUGCAAGCCAGGAGUGAAAGCCCGGGGCCCAACCCCGGGACUGCUCUUGGAACUGCGUGGCUGGAGUGCAGGAGGGGCAGGCGGAAUUCCUGGUGUAGCGGUGAAAUGCGUAGAUAUCAGGAGGAACACCGGUGGCGAAGGCGGCCUGCUGGACUGCAACUGACGUUGAGGCCCGAAAGCGUGGGGAGCAAACAGGAUUAGAUACCCGUGUAGUC